AACUGCCAGGCAGCAGCAGCCUUCCCUGCCCAGGCCUGACUGAAGAUCCAGGCUCCAGACACUUCUGUUCAUUAUCCCCCGGGAUCCCUCCCCUAAAAGUCCCCACUGCCACCCAGCACGGUGGCCUAGCCCAGAACCAGCUCACAAGGGUGCCCAUCAUCCAACAGGCCGGCGGCCUCGAGCAAAAGGGGUGUCUCCCCUGGGGGGCUGAACUGUCCUGGGCAGGUCCUGCGCCCUCCGCAGUCUCUGCCACCGAGGCCACCCAGCCAGCCUCGUGUCACUCACACCUGAAAAAUGCACAAAGGCCCCGGAGGCAUAACAGCUAUGCACCACCACAGGGAAACAAAGGGAGUUUUACACCCUGAAAACAGCCGUCUUGCACACUUCUGAUUUUAUGGGCUUAAAGAAAUGUGUUUGUUUCAUCAAAACAAUAAGUGCCUUCGAUGACGCAUGUCACUCACUGGACCCCGCGCUGGCUGCCUCGCUUAGUCCUGCUGGAGACCCCCAUACCUUUUCGAUAUGCAAUAUAAUUAAUCAAUACAUCCUGGAGCAUUGCAGAGAAUGCCACCCAGCAAAAUAGGAGCUGUCCCCAGCACCAGAGAGGGAGGCCCCGCCCCUCAAAGCACCGCAGGGCAUCAGCAAGCCCCUCCCUCUCGUUUAACUAGGCACCCCCUUUGUAAAGACAGCUGUAGGCGCAGUCAGAAAAUCACCUGCAUUUCUUUCCACUGAAGUAAAAAUACAUGAAAUGAAAUCUAAUCUUCAUGAAUUUUUACACGCAUGCUGCUCAGGGUAGACAUUCGGAGUUGCAUUUUGAAGGCUUUUCUUUAAAUCCCCAUCUUUGUUUCCCGGGCGACGAGUCCCAGUCGCCGGCGGAAUGGCACGGGCGCCCCCAGGUGUCCGAAGUGCGGAGCUGCCGGCGCUGCACACCGCGAGGCUGAUCUAUCACCGGGCUUUUUCGCAGAACUUGAAAAUGCUGUGGAAAUGUUUAUGUUAAAAUCACUAGGUGCUUUCUCGUGGCUUCUCAGCGCUACCUUAUGUGUACACGGAGGACAUCUUUGUCACGCACAAGCUGUGAGGGCAUCCUGGGGGACAACCUGGUGUGUUGAAAAGACAAGGGAUGUGAUGGGACUGUUUUGCCUGGAAAUAACUUCUUGAAACAGAAGCACUUGACAUAGGACUGGAUGGAACAGCUGUGACUACACUCAUUACUAUACCAUUGAAGGAUUGGAACCGAUCAAACUCAGAAAGUAUCUGCUUGCAAUUCUCAGGAUGGCAGCCCCCAGGCCACAGGGCAGAAGGGAACCGAGGGUGGAGGAGUGGUGGGCAGAGGCACUACAACCACAACUUCAGUACACUUCUUUCCAGCUUGUUUCAGAAGUGCCAUAGCUCAGCUGGACUCCAUUUUCAAUCUGAUUAUGAUCAUUGUGAGUUCCCCAUAUGUUACAUUGUCCUACCAGGACAGCCUCCUCACUGCCUGCUAAGAUUAAAAGUAAAUAAAUAGACUAACUGAAGCAUGAAGGAUUUCGGCUAGACAUAAAGAACUAUUUCCUGUUGUUAAGCAGGAGGGACAAGUUGCCAAGAAAGUUUGUGAAAUCCUCUUCUCAAAGGACUUGAAAAGGAGAAAAGUUUUCCCAGUGGUCUGAGGUUUUAGAUGCCAUGUUCACUAGAAGGAGUGGGUUUUCUCCUCUCCAAACCAAUUAAUUCCUGAGAUAUCCUGGUCUGCCUGCAGCAAACAGAGGGUUAACAGCAUCACUACAUCAUUUGCUAUUGGCAAAAUUUUCGAAGAUGGUGUGCCUCUAUUGCCCGCCUCAGUUUAUCUUAGGUCUAUAAUUUCUUUUCAUUUGGAGUAAGUAGUCGGCAAUUGAAAGAGGUGAUUACUUCUCAUAAUGUGUGCAUUGAGUUGUGUGGGCCGGUGGCUGUUGAGUAUGCUUUCUCCAUGUUGUUGCUGGUGUUGUUUUUCAAUAAAAUUUAUAUUCAUUUUUAUCCAA
rnacentral:lncRNA from 1 species